UCCCUUGUAGCUCAGUCGGUAGAGCGUUCGGCUUUUAUGCGAACCUGUAUCUGCUACCAAGGUACCGAAAUGUCCAGGGUUCGAGCCCCUGCAGGGGAG